CACAGGCUGAAAAUGUAUUUGUUUUCGAGAAGAAAAGUGGAGCAACGAACAAAAUGGCUACCAAGAUUGAUUCUCCAGAACCGACUGGCUCUUCAAAAAUGAAGCACGAGUUGAGAAAACAUGAAAAAGUAGCAUUGAGCCGUCGACAGUUAUAUUCCUCAGGUAGGGUUGAUUUAUUUUUGCUAAUUGCCAGUUUUAAACGUGCUUUUUUGUAUAAACUACGCAAAACACGAUUCAAAAGAAUGUAUUGAUUUCGAGAAAAGCAAAAAAUGGUGGUAGCCCCAACAGAUAAUGAAUUCAAACCUACACCUAAAUUCAAAAAUUCUGGAACUUCCGUAUCGAAGAAGCUGGAAUCCGAACUUCGUCAAACAACAGUUCCGAGACAAUUUGUUUCACCCGAGAUUUUUCCCCACAAACAACAAAAUAAAGAUAAAACUGAUUUGGCUGAUGAAUCCAUGAUGAGAAAUGACUCAGUUGACCUGUUGACCAACACUGACAGUGAUACUGGAGCAGAGAAUCAUCAUGGUGAAGCAAACCAAUCAAAAAUGGAUCGCCUGAUUAGACAGAACACAGUUUCAAAAAGACAAAACAACAAAACUUAAUGGAUGGAUCGCAUUUUUAGGUUAACUGACAUUCUCAAUGCUAAAGUUUGCGGGGAGCCAACGGACAUGAUUUUUACGGAAGUGCUUGGGUACCCCGAGAGAGGGUCACACCCUAAAGCGAUUCUCGGAGGCCGAAACGAGCGACUGCAUUUUUGUAUAGCUAUUGAUGAAGGAGCUGUGGUCAAUAGGCUUUAAAAAUAGAUCAGUAAGUGGCCGUGGUUCAAUUAACCCGCGUGGCCGCCCAUCUAAAAAAACUACUGUUACAGAGGCAGAACAGGUGUCACGACGCGAGCCACUGACACCUGAAAAGGUUAAAUACGUAAAAGAUCGUUUAAUUGAACAUCGAGUAUUUCUAGGAGAUCUUCCCGCGAUUUCCAAGCAGCGAGCAGAUGAAUGUGGCCGACUAAUGACUCGCGUAGUAUCGUACUAUGGUGCUACAUAAGCAAUCUAAUGCUACUGUAUUCUGGAACUGGAGUUUUCCUAAGGAUAAUUGGCAUUGAUAUUACCUUAUUU